rnacentral:rRNA from 1 species
AGAGUUUGAUCCUGGCUCAGAUUGAACGCUGGCGGUAUGCUUAACACAUGCAAGUCGAACGGAAACGAUACUAGCUUGCUAGUAGGCGUCGAGUGGCGGACGGGUGAGUAACGCGUAGGAAUCUGCCUGAUAGUGGGGGAUAGCCCGAAGAAAUUCGGAUUAAUACCGCAUAAUCUAUUCGUAGUAAAGUGGGGGACUUUCGAGCCUCACGCUAUCAGAUGAGCCUGCGUAAGAUUAGCUUGUUGGUAGGGUAAAAGCCUACCAAGGCAACGAUCUUUAGCUGGUCUGAGAGGAUGAUCAGCCACAUCGGGACUGAGACACGGCCCGAACUCCUACGGGAGGCAGCAGUGGGGAAUAUUGGACAAUGGGGGCAACCCUGAUCCAGCAAUACCGCGUGUGUGAAGAAGGCCUGAGGGUUGUAAAGCACUUUCAAUUGUGAAGAAAAGUUAACGGUUAAUAACCGUUGACCUUGACGUUAACUUUAGAAGAAGCACCGGCUAACUCCGUGCCAGCAGCCGCGGUAAUACGGAGGGUGCAAGCGUUAAUCGGAAUUACUGGGCGUAAAGCGUGCGUAGGCGGUUUAUUAAGUCAGAUGUGAAAGCCCCGGGCUUAACCUGGGAACUGCAUUUGAAACUGGUCAACUAGAGUAUGGUAGAGGAAAGUGGAAUUUCUGGUGUAGCGGUGAAAUGCGUAGAUAUCAGAAGGAACAUCAAUGGCGAAGGCAGCUUUCUGGACCAAUACUGACGCUGAGGUACGAAAGCGUGGGUAGCAAACAGGAUUAGAUACCCUGGUAGUCCACGCCGUAAACGAUGAUAACUAGCCGUUGGGGGGAUUUACCCUUUAGUGGCGAAGCUAACGCGUUAAGUUAUCCGCCUGGGGAGUACGGCCGCAAGGCUAAAACUCAAAGGAAUUGACGGGGACCCGCACAAGCGGUGGAGCAUGUGGUUUAAUUCGAUGCAACGCGAAGAACCUUACCUGGUCUUGACAUCCUGCGAACUUUCUAGAAAUAGAUUGGUGCCUUCGGGAACGCAGUGACAGGUGCUGCAUGGCUGUCGUCAGCUCGUGUCGUGAGAUGUUGGGUUAAGUCCCGUAACGAGCGCAACCCCUAUC